CGGUCCAAGGUGGCUGGCUGGGGGAGGGUCCGCGGGGCCUCGCAGCCCUUCCCCUUUCGGUCGAGAGCUGCGGCCGAAGGCUCGGACGCGCCCUGCCCUGCCCUGCCCGUUCGGGCCUCCUUGCAGCGGGCGACUGUCGAGGAGUCACUCGCCCAGAGCACGGCUGGGGUGGCUGCCAAGUGAUCAAUGUGCUUGUCUCUGGACUUGAUCUGCACAAAAGAAUAACAUAUAGCAGGGACUAGCAGCAGUGCUAUUUGAAUUGCCUGAAGUAUACAUCUGGAGUUGGGACCAAGGACCAACAGAAUGCCUAUCUAGAAAAGAAGA